rnacentral:misc_RNA from 1 species
UCAAACUUGGUCAUUUAGAGGAAGUACAAGUCGUAACAAGGUUUCCGUAGGUGAACCUGCGGAAGGAUCAUUACUAAAUCCAAAAAAACAACAACCAUGUUGAAACGUGUGCGUGGGAGAAAAUUUUGCACGUUAGUGUAAAUUUUCACAUCCAUCCCAUUUAAACAUUUAUCAUCAUUAUAUUAUUUGGACAUGAACAUUAAUUAUUUUUAAUAAAUAAUAUAUAACUUUUAACAAUGGAUCUCUUGGCUCUUGCAUCGAUGAAGAACGCAGC